ACCGAACGAGAGCUUGCUCUUGUUUGGUCAGCGGCGGACGGGUGAGUAACACGUGGGCAACCUGCCCGCAAGACCGGGAUAACUCCGGGAAACCGGAGCUAAUACCGGAUAACACCAAAGACCGCAUGGUCUUUGGUUGAAAGGCGGCUUCGGCUGCCACUUGCGGAUGGGCCCGCGGCGCAUUAGCUAGUUGGUGAGGUAACGGCUCACCAAGGCGACGAUGCGUAGCCGGCCUGAGAGGGUGACCGGCCACACUGGGACUGAGACACGGCCCAGACUCCUACGGGAGGCAGCAGUAGGGAAUCUUCCGCAAUGGACGAAAGUCUGACGGAGCGACGCCGCGUGAGCGAAGAAGGCCUUCGGGUCGUAAAGCUCUGUUGUGAGGGACGAAGGAGCGCCGUUUGAAUAAGGCGGCGCGGUGACGGUACCUCACGAGAAAGCCCCGGCUAACUACGUGCCAGCAGCCGCGGUAAUACGUAGGGGGCGAGCGUUGUCCGGAAUUAUUGGGCGUAAAGCGCACGCAGGCGGUCCUUUAAGUCUGAUGUGAAAGCCCACGGCUCAACCGUGGAGGGUCAUUGGAAACUGGGGGACUUGAGUGCAGGAGAGGAGAGCGGAAUUCCACGUGUAGCGGUGAAAUGCGUAGAGAUGUGGAGGAACACCAGUGGCGAAGGCGGCUCUCUGGCCUGUAACUGACGCUGAGGCGCGAAAGCGUGGGGAGCAAACAGGAUUAGAUACCUUGGUAGUCCACGCCGUAAACGAUGAGUGCUAAGUGUUAGAGGGGUCACACCCUUUAGUGCUGCAGCUAACGCGAUAAGCACUCCGCCUGGGGAGUACGGCCGCAAGGCUGAAACUCAAAGGAAUUGACGGGGGCCCGCACAAGCGGUGGAGCAUGUGGUUUAAUUCGAAGCAACGCGAAGAACCUUACCAGGUCUUGACAUCCCCUGACAACCCAAGAGAUUGGGCGUUCCCCCCUUCGGGGGGGGACAGGGUGACAGGUGGUGCAUGGUUGUCGUCAGCUC
rnacentral:rRNA from 1 species